AAAGAAGAAUUUCCUUUAUUGAGUCAGAAAUCUGUCAUGAGUACCACAGGAAGAGUUAACACUUCAACAAAGCCCUGGAACAUCUCCCCAUAAAGGGACACCGCAAGACAAAGAAAGACCAAAGACAGAUGGGAGUAAGAAAAGAAGAAUUUCCUUUGGAGAGUCAGACAUCCAACAUGAAGAUUGAACCGCGUCACAGGAAGAAGCAACACUUCAACAAAGCCCUAUUUUAGUGGACGUUACUGAGAACACAUCAGACCAGAGAACCAGGACAACACUUAUCUUGGCAGUGCCAUCCCACUGUGCGGAGACCAAGUGACAGUAACCCAUGAGGUGGUGACUCCCAGUUUAAGCACAGUAGCUUCAGAAGGAGCAUCUGAAUACCUGUCAAUCUGCAGCAAGUCACUGAGGAAUAUGUCGUGUCAGGGCCCGAAGAAGCAGCAAAUAUGGAGUCCCAGUAUGGUCUGCAAGAAGCCAUAGGACAGAGAAGAACUGAAAGUGAUCGUGAAUGGAUUGAAGAUCAAUUUAAUCAUAUUUCACAGAGGCUGGAUGAUCAAUUUGACAGGCUGUCACAGAGCAUGGAAACUCAAUUUCAAAGAAUGUCACAGAGGAUGGACCAUAUUCAAAAAAGGCAACAUCUCCAUCCUGAACUGAUGGUAACUAUAGGUCGCAGCAUUGACAUAUUAGCUUAAUCUCAUGGUCAGUCAAAUUCACUUACAGUGCAAGUACAUCUUGGCAUGAUGCAAAUGCUCAAUUGGCAACAACAAGUAAAUAUAAACAUGUCGUUCAUUGCCACAAGCCUACAGUUAAUGUCAGAAGAUUACAGAAGAUCAUCAACGCAACCAUUGACAGCUUAAUUCAGACCUCCAGACAUGCCAGGAAUGUCAAUGCAGUCUAUUCAAUUAGUAUGCAGACAUCAUAUUAUUAUGCAGACUACUCGGUAUAAUGUUAUGCAGACUACUCGGUAUCUGGGUUAUCAGGUGAGACCAGGUGACACUCACGCAAUUACCCCUUGCCCAGCUGUCUUUUAGCCUCCUGUGAUGCUAGGUUUCUCCUAUAGCAGCCGCCUUUCCAGGGUGAAUUAGGUCCACCCCGUACACAGAUGUCCACAGAUUUUAUGUAUGGAAAAGGUGACUAUUGGAGGCUGCGCAAGAGUACAUGCAGUACUGAGAGACGUCACGGGACAUCCUUGAUAACCCUGCCAAUACUCAGACAGAAAUAAUAAACUAAUUGUACACAGGUGCAACAAUGCACAUGGUGAUAUCAUAACAAACACUCAAAGAAUAUGAAGUGCAACAAUGCACAGGGUGGUACAGUAAUAAAUGCUAAUGAUAUGUAAAUGCACCAAGGCACCGGAUGAUAUGAGCAACUUAGCUAAACACAGUAUAAAUGCAACAAUGCACAGGAUGAUAUAAAUAAUCAAAUACAAGAAGUAACUCAAAGUCUGAAAAUAACCAAUGCAAAAUCCCCAGACUUAGCUUAAACUGUCUGAUGUGGAUUCUGAAGAAGCCCAGAAAUUGGAACUGGAACAGAACUCUGUGAAGGGGAGCAGAGAUCAAGAGACACUGAGACUGAGACCGGCUUCAGAGGAGGAUUACACUGUGCAGUGAUAGCAGGCUUGGCAACUGGAACAGACAACACUAACUUCACAGACUCAAUCCACAACACAAGACGAGAACCGGGACUAGGUACAAACUGGAACUUGAAGCUAUAACCGGCCUCAGGUGAAGGGCUAGCUGGGUAAUAAAGGGAGAAAGCCCCAAUCCGGAUGGCUGGAAAAGAACAAGCCUCCUGAACACUGAUUUGUCAGGGUAGGCUGUUUUUGUGAAUCCGUUGGACUUAGACAACCAGAAGCAGGAGAUGCUCCUGUAUGCAGGAAACAAGGAGGACAAAGAUAAUUACUUUUCAUAUACUUUAUUAACUACAACAGAACUUAAUGUAGCUGACCAAAGGUCUGUGACAAACAUGUUUUAAGUUGAAAAACUGUAGAGAUUAAGCUUACUGAACUCCUAAAGAAUGAAGUUGGAGAACAUGGAGAGGAAUUGUUUGUUGGGUGAUGAGGAGGCGUGGCUGAAGAACUGUGAAAAAGUUUGCAGAAUGACGUGAAAGCGUGAAUGAAGAACUGCAAAGAAUUGGUUGCUGGAUGGUGUGAAGAUGUGAAUGAAGAACUGUAAAGAAUUUCCACUGAAUGAUGGAAAGGCGUGAAUGAAGAACUGUGAAGAAUUGUUGCUGGAUAAUGCGAAGACAUGCAUGAAGAACUGAGAAGAAUGUCCACUGGAUGUUGCAAAGAUGUGAAUGAAGAACUGUGAAGAAUGUCCACUGGAUGAUGCGAAGACGUGACUGAAGAACUGUGAAGAAUGUCCACUGGAUGAUGCAAAGACGUGAAUGAAGACACUAGAAGAAGCUGACGAAUCACAACGGGACUCCACUAAAUCCGAAGGUACCGUCGGGUGAACUGUUAACCGUGACCGUGCUCUGGAGGGCUGACGGGUGCUACGCAGUGAGAGAUGGCAGACAUCUCAGAGAGCAGAGAUGGGACCAGAAUACCUGGAGAUGCACAGAACAAUCUGCGGGAGCACAGAGCUAGGGUACAGAGUAGCUACAACAAAGCUCUGGCACAGAAUGUAAAAAUCCCAGCAUACUUAUAGGCAGCAAGGAAACAGGAUUGGCUGACACUCACCUAUAGACGCUAAUUGGUGCUGCACUUGGUCUCCAACAUGGACGCCCCCAAUGCUGCAUCUCUGUGUGGCCACACAGCACUGCAAUUAGCCACGCCAGCAAUGGACGGAUCCCGGGACCUGCAGAGGUGAGAGCUUGCUUCAUGACAGUCCCCCCCCCCUUGAAGGUGGUCUCCGAACACCUUAGAGCUUUAGUAGGAUUUAUGGAGUAGAAAUUUCGAAUCAAUCUUGGAGCAUGGAUAUAUUCAGCGAAAACCCAGGACCUCUCCUCAGGUCCAUACCCUUUCCAAUCAAGAAGGUAUUGAAGACAUCCAUAUCAAUGACGAGAGUCCAAAAUUUCCUUAACUUCAAAUUCUUCACCCUGCAAAUUGUGAAUUUUAGGAGGUUUGGGUAAAGCUACACGAAAUUUGUUGAGGAUUAAGGAUUUAAGUAGAGAUAUGUGAAAAGCAUUAGGUAUCUUGAAGGAAGAUGGUAAUUUAACUUUAUAAACUACAGGGUUGAGCACUAUAUAGAGAAACUAUAGGAAAAGGACCAAUAUACUUGGGCGCAAAUUCUUGGAAGGAACUUUGAACUUGAGAUUUCGAGUAGAUAUUCAGACUUGGUCCCCCACCUUGUAAUUAGGAACUGCUUUCCGUCUCCUAUCUGUGAAAGAUUUAUAUCAUAAGGAAGUUUUAACAAAAGACUUGCGCACUUUCUCCAAAUCUUAGAAAGUUGCUUGAGAGCUAAGUCUGCUGCUGGCACCUCCUGAAAUUCCGGUACUCACGGAUGGAAACCAAAAUUGAUGUAGAAAGAUGUGGAUUCUGAAGAUGAAUGAAAGAGGUUAUUAUGGGCAAACUCUGCCAGCGGAAGAAAGUCCAACCAAUCAUCUUGUGAGGAGGAUAUGUAUAGACGAAGAAACAUUUCAAGAUCUUAAUUUACUCUUUCAGUUUGUCCAUCCAUCUGGGGAUGAUAUGCAGAGGAAUUAUUUAACUUGAUAUUUAGAGAAGAACAAAGCAAUUUCCAAAACUUGGCCAUGAACUGCGGGCUGCGAUCUGAAAUAAUUUCUAAAGGAAGGCCAUGCAGCUUGAAGAUCUCAGAAAUGAACAGUCUGGCUAGCAAUGGAGCUGAGGGUAACCCUGUGUUUCGUCCCUUCGAUGGAGAUGAAUCAGUUAUGAAAUCCAUCAAAAUAUGAGUCCAAGGUCUCUUGGGUAUGGAUCCUGGAUGUAUUAAACCGGAUGGCGGGCCCUUGGGAUUCUUGUGUUAGGCACAUAAAGGACAGGCAGCUAUAAAUUCUUGGAUGUCAGUUCUAAGAUGUGGCCACCAGUAGGACUGCUGAAUGAAUUUAAGAGUCUUAAGGACCCCAGGAUUACCCAUAAAAGAUGAGGAAUGAGCCCAAGUUAGUAAUCAUUUUUGGAGAUUUGAGGUAACGAAUGUUUUACCAGGCGGGGGUACUGGAGCUGGCGAAAUUCGAGUCAUUAAAAAGGAUGUUGGACUUACAAUGGCUUGCUUACUUGUUAGAUCGUUAGACCCUGAAGAAUUGAAGGACCAAGAGAGAGCGUUCACUUUCUUAUUCAGGGACCCUGGUCGAGUCAGUUUGAAAUGAAAUCAGGUGAAGAAAAGCCCAUCUUGCUUGCCGUGGAUUAAGACAUUGAUCAGUUUGCAGAUAUAGAAGAUUUUUAUGAUUGGUGUACACUAUGAUGGAAUAUUGAGCUCCCUCUAAAAGGUAUUUCCAUUAUACAAAUGCCAACUUAAUGGCAAGCAAUUCUUGUUCCCCAAUAGCAUAGUUUCGUUCAGCAGGUAGAAACCUUUGAAAAAAAUAUCCGCAUUGAUGGACUUUGUUAUCUUCGUAAACCUGCGACAAAACUAUCCCAACUGCCUCUGUGGAAGCAUCCACCUCCACAAGAAAUGGAUGAUUAGGAUCCGGUUGAUGGAGAAUGGGAGCAGACAUAAAGGCUUGUUUUAAAUCGAGAAGGCUUUGGCUACCUCAGUAGUCCAAUUCGAAGGACUCACUCCUUUACGUGUCAAGGCUGUGAUGGGUGUGACCAACGCGGAAUAAUUCUUAAUAAAUUUGCUGUCAAAAUUGGCAAAUCCAAGGAAGCGCUGAAUCCCCUUGAGAGUCGAGAGAGCUGACCAUUCUCAAAUAGCUUAGACUUUGGCGGGAUCCAUUUGUAGCUCCGAUCUGGAAAUGAUGUAACCCAAAAAUGGGAUGGAUGCUACUACGAAUGUACAUUUUUCCAAUUUGCAGUAUAAUCCAUUCCUUCUCAGAUGGGUUAACACUUCCAAAACUUGGAGAUGAUGAGACUCUAGAUCUUUGGAGAAUAUCAGGAUAUCAUCCAAGUACACCACCAAACAUUUAUAAAGAAGAUCCCGAAAGAGUUCGUUCACAUAACUUUGAAAAACUGCGGGGGCAUUACAGAGACCAAAUGGCAUUACGAGAUACUCAUAAUGCCCAUCCCGAGUAUUAAAGGCCGUUUUACAUUCAUCCCCUGCAUGGAUUCUAAUUAAAUUAUAAGCGCCUCGAAGAUCAAGCUUAGUAAAAACCGUGGCCCCCUUUGCUCGGUCGAACAAUUCAAGAAUUAAUGGAAGUGGGUACCGAUUUUUUAUAGUGAUUUAAUUAAGUCCGCGGUAAUCAAUGCAUGGUCGCAGGCCACCAUCUUUCUUUUUGAAGAAAAAGAAUCCAGCCCCCACAGCAGAGAAAGACGGUCUAAUAAAGCCUUUGGCUAAAUUCUCGUGAAUAUAGUCCGACAUAGCCUGAGUCUCAGGAAUGGACAACGGGUAGAGUCGACCCCAUGGAGGUGUUUUACCCGGCACCAAGUCGAUCGGGCAAUUCCAUUCUCGGUGAGGUGGUAAGGAAUCAGCCCCUUGCUUACUGAAGACAUCUAUAAAGGCUGGUAAACUGUAGGCAACUCGGAAAUAUGAACUGAGCGGAAAGGUUUGACUUAGGCCAAACAACCGUUGGUACAGGAUUCUCCCCAGGAUAGGAUCUCCACAGUUUGCCACUUGAGCUGUGGAUUAUGUUUUUGUAACCAAGGUAAUCCAAGGAUCACAUCAUGGGAGGCUUUGGGAAUCAUGAGAAAGGAGAUAUAUUCGAAGUGUAGUACGCCUGCUUUCAUUCUAAGGAAUUCAGUUUGAUGAGUGAUUAUGCUUUCAGAAAUUUGACUUCCAUCCACCGCCGUAAUGGAGACUGCUUGUUCCAAAGGCACAGUCCGGAUCCUUAAUUGCUGAACGAUGGCAUUAGAAAUUAAGUUUCCAGCUACACCAGAAUCUUACAAAGCCGUGACCGCAGAAGACGGGACUUCUAAACAAAUGGGCAGAUUUGGCUCAUAUCCAGAACGUGAUUCUAAAAUAACUCCUAGCUUAACCUCCCUGGAGUAAGCUAGGAGCGGGAGUUUUCCGGCUGGAGUUUACAAGACUUGUUCAGAGUAAUACAUGCAGAGGUUCUCCUGGUGGCGACAAGAACGCUCCUCAUCCGUAAUCUGAGAGCGACCAAUCUGCAUCAGCUCUUCAGUUGAUAAAGGAAGUUGUGGCAGAGACGGAUUAUGUCGAGGUCGAGAAACGAAAGCGAAGACUUGGACGUUCGAACUUGUAUUUUUCUAAACAGCGUUCCCUAUACCGCAAGUCCAGUUUGCUGCAAAUGGAAAUCAAUUCAUCCAGUUUCGUGGGUAAAUCCCGAACAGUCAAGUCAUCUUUAAUCUUGUCAGAAAGCCCGUUCCAGGAAGCAGCGAUUAAGGCCUCCUCAUUCCAAUUCAAUUCUGAGGACAAAGUACGGAACCAGAUCACAUAUUGACUGACAGGACGUGAGCCUUGCCGAAGACGAAGAAUUUCCAGGGACGCUGAGGUGGUUCUGCCCCGCUCGUCGAAGAACUUUCGGAAUAAUGAGAAAAAUUCACUGUAAUUGGAAAGGAUAGGAUCUCCUCUCCCAAAGUGGAGAUACCCAUUCCAAGGCUUGAUAGUUAGGAGGGAAAUAAUGUACGCAAUCUUUGUAUGAGCUGAUGGAAAACUAACAGAUUGAAGCUCAAACUGGAUUUCACAUUGGUUGAGGAAUCCCCUACAGAGUUUCAGGGACCCAUAAAACUUGCAAGGUGGGGGUAGUUGCAAUCAAGAUAUCGGAACUGUCGCUGGAGGAACCCCUGCAAAAGAAAACACUACCGGAGCCGGAGACAUUGAAGACCUAAUGGCCACGUGAAGAGCAUCCAAACGAUCAGACAUGGUUUGCAUGAAUUGAACUAUUUGCGAUUGUGCGGACUCUUGAUUAUCCAGUUGAGAGAGAAUGUUGGCCAUAGCAUCACCUCCAGAGGCUUGGUGGCCGGACAGAUCCAUGUGGCCAGUGCUUACUGUCAGGGUAGGCUGUUUUUGUGAAUCUCUUGGAUUUAGACCAACCGAAGGAGGAGAUGCUCCUGUUUGCAGGAAACAAGGAGGCCAAAGAUAAUUCCUUUUCAUAUACGUACUUUAUUAACAACAACAGAACUUAAUGUAGCUGACCAUGACAAACGUGUUUUAAAUUGAAGAACUGUAGAGAUUAAGGUUACUGGACUCCUGAAGAAUGAAGUUGGAGAACACGGAUAGGAAUUGUUUGUUGGGUGAUGAGGAGGCGUGGCUGAAGAACUGUGAAGAAGUUUGCGGAAUGAUGUGGAAGCAUGAAUGAAGAACUGCGAAUAAUUGGAUGCUGGAUGGUGUGAAUGAAGAACUGUAAAGAAUGUCCACUGAAUGAUGCGAAGGCGUGAAUGAAGAACUGUGAAGAAUUGUUGCUGGAUAAUGCAAAGAUGUGAAUGAAGAACUGAGAAAAAUGUCCACUGGAUGAUGCGAAGACGUGAAUGAAGAACUGAGAAGAAUGUCCACUGGAUAAUGCAAAGACGUGAAUGAAGAACUGUGAAGAAUGUCUACUUGAUGCGAAGAUGUGAAUGAAGUACUGUGAAGACUGUCCACUGGAUGAUGCGAAGAUGUGAAUGAAGACACUAGAAGAAGCUGGCGAACCACCACAGGACUCCAGUAAAUCCAAAGGAACCGUCGGGUGAAUGCUUAACCAUGACCGCAACCUGGAGGGCUGAUGGGUACUACGCAGCGAGAGAUGGCAGAUAACUCAGAGAACAGAGAUGGUACCAGAAUACCUGGAGACGCACAGAACAAUCUGCAGGACCACAUAGCUAGGGUACAGAGUAGCUAAAACAAAGCACUGGCACAGAGUGUAAAAAUCCCAGGCUACUUAUAGGCAGCAAGGAAACAGAAAUAGCUGACACUCACCCAUAGACACCCAUUGGUGAUGCACUUGGUCUCCAACAUUGCUGCCCCCUAUGCUGCAGACACACUGGAGCGCUGCAGACCACUAGGUCCUCACUCCUGACUCCCAGAAGCUGUGUCACUUCCAAAGCUGACCGCGCCGCAUCCCUUUGCGGCUACACAGCACCGCAGUUAGCCACAGCGGCAACAGACGGAUCCCGGGACCCGCGGCGGUGAGAGCUUGCUUCAUGACAUGAUUAACUGCAGCUGGAAACAAGACACAAGGUAAUGACCUAAUUAUCUGACAGGUGAAACUGCACAGACCACACAUACAGGAGACAGGCUGCAGUAACACAGAACACAGACUGGAAUGAGCCACAGUGGUGGGUCAUGACACAUAUACUGAUAAUAUGGGACUUCGAGUGUAACAUGAUUACCAGAGGAUGAGAGAUCAGCCGGAAGACGUAGGUGAAAGGGAUUUCAAAUAAAAAGGUUAGUUACACAUACAAUGAUAUAAUAAUGUCAACCUCAUGUCUAAACAUUAAAGCACAUCUUGAUUUUAAACAGGUGACUUUAAUGUUUAAUGUUUUGAAUUAUUGACACACAGGUUUAUACAUCAUGUAAUUUUUAAGAUAUAGGGUCUAAUUCAAG